CUAUGUAGAAUAAGUAGUUAUUUGCUGAUUUGUAGAUACUUAGUUUAUAGUGUAAACAGGAAUAGAUGACUGUUAGAAAGGUAGUUCAGUAGUUAAAAUGGAUGAAUAGUUAGGAAAAGCAGUUUUCAUUAGAGAUGUAGCAGUUGGUAUCUCGUGGUAGGAUAAGGAGGAUGAGAGAGAGGAAGAAACUGCCAUUACUGUGAUAGUGUGAGCCGGGGU
rnacentral:lncRNA from 1 species